AGGAUCACUUCGGCAGCAUGUAUACUAAAACUGGAAUGAUGCAGAGAAGAUUCGCAUGGAUCCUGCAUAAGGAUGGUACUCAAAUUUGUGAAGAGUUGCAGGAUUCU